AGGCAGCUUAGUAACUAUUUAUUGAGAAACUGUUAGCAGCAUCAAUUAUUUAUAUUGUGGGCUACAUCUAAAGGCUCCCUUCAAGAAAAAAAUUUGUAAAAGUGGUGCAGCUAUUUUCCAAGACUGCUUUUCUGAGAAUAGUUCACCGUAGACACAGUAACUCGACAAUGGUUCAUCCCAAAUCAUAAUUUAACAAAGGAUUUUGUCAAAAUGCAAACAUGUAAAACAUGGGAGUGGAUUUAACAAAGAUUUCACUUUUCCGAGGUGUUAAAUCCUAAAUUUUAUACUUGAAAUUUUUUUUUUUAAAAGAAUUGAAAAUUAUUCUUUCCGCGACAAGAAUUUUAGCUAAUAAAAAUUGGGCAUUGAUUGGAGUAGUAGUUUUUUAGUAAUCGUGUCCAUUGCGAAGGUAUUUAAAAAAACAAGAUUCUGUCAUAAUUGCGUUUCAAACUUGUCAAUUAAAAAUAACGUAUUUUUUACAUCGAGUUAUGGAUUCCAGUUCCAUAUAGUUUUCGGUUCAGCUAUAACUUCGGACCUAAUGCGCUAACUAUUAUUCAGUUUGGUUAGAAUAUUCUUGAGAUAAUUUACUAGAGGAUAUGCAAUAAAGAACAUUUCGAUUUUCCCGGCCAUCGAAACUGUCAUUUAAUGCCUCGCACGACGAGCGCGUUCCGUUUGCUUGUGCACCUUCACCAGUCACAAAGGAAUGUUGAGAAGCUGACUUGACAUUUGUCUCAAUGUUUUGAGUCACGACGGGGUCGUCGCAAGCGAAGUGUGAUCGAAAACUGACGUAGUAACAAUCGCGAUUAGAUGAGACGUCAACCAAAAAACUUCGGAGGCUCUAGAGCACUCGGCGGCCGCAGCUAUAUAAUACCAAUGAAGGUAGACGCAAGUAAACAUUUGAGACGAUGCUAUCUUCAUCAAAUGUCCCGCAACACGGACAGAACGCAAAGUGCAAUGCGUUCAAUACUUAGAAAGGGAAUGGUUUUUGUCUUGAAACGCUUUCAAAUGUCGAAUAAAAGAUGGCACUCUUAACAGUGCAAAUCAA